rnacentral:tRNA from 1 species
UGUUCUGUAGCUUAGUUGGUUAAAGUGCCGGACUAGCGAUAACGGAAUGGUGGGUUCGAAUCCCACCAAAACAA